CCUGUCCAUGAAAUGGAGAGGAUCCGAAUCCCAAAGUUGUUUUUGGCCCAAUCCAAACAUCUCUGACUGACCUAUUUUAUGCACAAUCCCUUCCCUACAGACCAUAUCUUUUACUUUAUCUCGCUCUCUCUCACUCUCACACAGCCACUCGACCUGGAAACCUGGCAAAUCUCUCUUUCAGUUACCACUGGUCAUUACAAUUGCACCAAAUUUUCCAAAAAGAUGGGAAGCAAAGCAUUGCUUAUGCUAAAAGGAGUGUCAAGUAUAGCACCAAAGAACCAAAUCUUCAACUUCAACUGCAAAAGCAACAGAAGCAGCAACUCCAGCUUCAGCUUCUCAAAAGUAGUUAUUAAUCACGACAAGAACAAUAAGGUCCGAAGAUGCUCAACAACUACAACCCAGUCCUCUCUUGAACCUCCCGAUGUGUCCCGUUUGGCUGAAACUGCUCGAAUCUCUCUCACCCCAAAUGAGGUUGAAGAAUUUGCUCCAAAAAUACGACAGGUCAUAGAUUGGUUUGGACAACUUCAAGAUGUUGAUCUUCAUAGUAUUGAGCCUUCCAUCAGAGCAGAUACUGAAGACAGCAAUUUGCGUGAUGAUAUUCCUGAAACAUUUGAGAAUAGGGAGUCCAUGAUUGCUGCUGUUCCUAGCUAUGAAGAACCAUAUAUUAAAGUUCCCAAAGUCUUGAACAAGGAGUAACAUUAUUCAGGUGGUUAUCAUGGGAACUUUUGGUAUGUACCAUAUUGGUAACAAAACUAGUACGGGGAUCCCUUUGUUCUGUACCGUUUCAAAUUCUGAUGACUCUGGAUUCCUUGGGUGGUUGACACAUUGAAGGCUGCUGCUAUCUCAGGUUCAAUGUGUGUUGGAUUUGUUAGCAAACAAGUCAUGUAUGCUGCUAUUAAUGGUCAAUCAAAUGCAAACAGGUAUCAGAUGGUGUACUUUGAGAAAGGAGGAAACCCAAUCGAAUGCAUCUUGUACGCCAAGAAAGUGCUAUAGAAAAAUCAUAUAUUAGGUCUUCAAUAACCGAACUUUCAUUUUAAUUGGGUUUUUGCUAUA